GUGCUCUCUUUCUAUGUGGUUUAUUGGGCCUGUCUCGAGAGACCACCAUGGUGCACCUAGUUUGGCCAUAGAGCUUAUGUAGCCCACACGCGUCUCGUGGCUAUAAUUAGAACUGAAACUCGAGACUGCCCCGAAGGGCGGGACUGUCCCGGCUUGGUCCGCCAGGCUUAUAAGAGCGCGGGAUCCUUGGGACUGGUUUGGCACAAGACUUUCCGACCAGGACACAUACAAAAUUUAGCCAGUAUCCAGGGCAUCUCAGUGCGAUCUCAGUGCUUCUUGUGCGAUUUAAGGAAGAUGAUGGUCUAAAAUGGGUUUUCGACCAGAAACCACAAGGACUACUAUACCUGUUGUCUUUCUCUGAGGCCCCACACAUCCAUUCAGAGGAAUAUGCAACUAAAUGAUAAAGCCCGAUGAUAAACUACUGAUCAUGGGGAGACACAGAAUUUGAUCUUCACAGGGACCCCCAACCUCCCCUCCACCCAGUGCUCCACCGCCCCCAGAGGGUUACCUGACGAAGGGUCUGGAGAUGGCGAGGACCGUGCGGAUGAACCAGGACGGGUGGGCGAUGAUCAGACACUUGAGGUUCUUCCGUAACCUGCGUGCGCACGGGAAGAAGACAUGAAGCACUUCCUGAACCAGCUGAUCCCGGGCAUCUUGCGGCGGGGAGUUGCUCCGUUCAGGUAGAUGAUCAUGUAGUCCUCGGCCACCAGCAGCUCCAGGCUGCUGAUGACGUAGCUGCACACAGACCAUCACAACCAGUGACCGGGGAACGGCCUCUCCCAUGCAAUCAGCCAGACGUACCAACGGCCCAGUCUAGAACUAAAAGGCUGAUUAUGGUCCCACGUUCUGGCAACGCCAGGACCACGCUGGGGAUGGACGUCAUGGAGCCGGCCGCUGGCGUCCCUCUCCUCCUCCCCGUCACUGUCCCCUGGGAGCCGCUUGGCCGUGGCCACGGGGGUGUCGUCUGGGGGCCCCGGGAGAAGCACAACGAUCACAGGUCUGCACUGCACUGGGGCUUAAUUUUGCCUCUUUUUUUUUUGGUUUACCAGGAGAACUUCCGUCCAGGAAGUUUUGAUGGAAAAGAAAAGGUUUCAGGGCCAAUGGACACAUCGGGUUUCCAAGCGUUCUCACAACACACGUCAUCACACUCGCUUGUGCAAGAGUGUGAAGCCCGUUGAAAGUUACCAUUCUGGAUAGUACGUUUUCAGCUGGAAGUGGUAGGACACUCGUGUUUUACAGGUCAUUUGCCGGAAAAAUUUACACAUACGUUCACCGAUGUCGACACUUUCUCUACUAAUAUUAGGUUUUUAACUGAUAUUGGACUUUUAUUUAUUUUAUAUUAUAUCCAGGAAUGUCCCAUUGAGAUAUAAUAUCUCGUCUUCCAGGGAGUCCUGGCCGGGCCAUAUAUGUGAUUAUUAGCGGGGUAACUCACCCUAUAAAGAAAAACCAAGCCAGCAACACAAUAAAUAUACCUGCAUCCUUAUUUAUCUGUACAGGUCUACAAUGUCGAAUUUAGGACCUCAAAUUUGAAGUUCCAACUGAAUCACAGAUGAGGUGUGAUCGUUACACCCUUCAGUUACUAACACAUAAGCAAUAGCUGCAACAUUUUACUUUGCUCUAACAACUGCAUGACAAUUCAAUCUGCAAUGACAUCACUUCCCCCGUACUGACCCUCCCACUCCAGGUCGUUGCCGUUGCUGUUGUCCAGCGAAUCGGUGUCGUUGGGCGUUUCCAUGGCGUCCACGUCCAGGUCGUCCAGGGAUGCCUCGCUGGGGUCCAGGGAUAGCUUCAUGUGGGGCGCCACCAGGGUGCGCCGCUUGCCCUGCCCAGCGGAAUCCCCCAGCUUCAGGGAGCUGGGUGGGUCUGAGGGGGUCACCAGAGAAAACGGUCUUAGAAGAGCCAAAUUGAAGUUGACAUAAUUAUCAUAAAACUUGUUUAUGCAGGUUGGUGUUUCUGAGCGGUUAGGCUAGACAGGAUGAUACCUUGUCCAAUUUCCUUUUCUGGCAUUUCAUUAUCUUCUCUGAUUGUAGGGAAUUAUGAAAAACAUAUGAUGUGUUUCCUCUACGUGAAUGGUAUCCUUGAUUGCUAUACUAAUCGAUUUCCGUACACAGUCAUUUUAAUGUGCUGUAAAGCGUUGAUAUAAAUAAUCAUAUUAUAAGCCUACUAUCGUCCAACUGAACUGACUUGUUCUGUGGUCAGUGAGGCCGUAUGAUGAUUCAACGUCGCCAUCUUCUGGCAGUGGUCUGAAAAGAACAACAGUAACAGGAAAGUCAUAAAGAUGUACAUAUACUAGACGGGUAGAUGCUAUUGACUGAAGAUUAAAUGGAUUGAAGCUUGA